rnacentral:misc_RNA from 1 species
UAACAAUUUUAGCAAAAAAAAAAAAAAAAAAAUCGACACACAAUAGUGCGUGUGACGGCUGCGCUCACGUCCGGGAAAUCAAGAAUAACGCGAGAACAGAGGGACGGUUGACAUAAACUCCCUCACCGAGUUUUCGCACUGUUGUUCGCGAAUUUUAUCCCCCAAAGUGCUGGUGCUGUGUCUAUGCUUAUACGGCCGUACGCUCUGCAUGAGUGCGUCGACAGUGUAACAAAAAAAUGGAGCAGUGACGAGUGUAGGUACGCCUUUAUGAGCAAUACUCGGCGCGAGUGUGUUUGACAGCAGUGUGCAAAUGCAAAUGUGUGCUGGGGCCUCCGAAAACGUAUGGAUGUAUACGUAUAUACGUCCCGUUGCGCGGCCUCCUUCACCUUGGGCAGAAAUUUGUACGGAUCGCCUCUAAUGUGUCUACUACACCGCAAUACGUUGAAACGAUCGUGAAGGUCCUUUUUACUACGGUACGGAAAUGAAAUUUAAAAAAAAGCAAAUGAUAUAAAACAGUGACAGAGAGUACAAGGGGUACACGAUCGCCGUGGACACAACAUGCCAGUGAGGGUGUUUUAGUGACAUGUCUGUGUCGCGCGUGACGAAUGAUUUAUAAUAAUCAUAAUAUUAUAAUCGCGAUACGCGAGAAUGGGCUGCCGUCGUUGCUUGAACGGAAUUAGCAGAGCUGGCUCUGUCGAAUUCGUGAUUUGUAGGAGGUGUAGCUUCGAUCCUGUGCCCUGCACUGGGACCUCCUGACACAAAAGGAGCUGUCAUAAACGUUUUUAGGGGGUUGGCGUUAUUACAAGUGCGAGAAUAUAAUAAGUAAAACAGAAAGUUUUGCGGUGGUAGUAGCUGUAGCUGCUGCAGUGUGCAGCGCUAUGUGGCCAGACAGAUGGCGCUACCGGCGUUUUGACACAUCCCCAGUGCACGAGCUCGAGGCGGCUUGUACAACUGUAACGACAGCUGAAGCAGCUAUCCAGCAGCAGCAACAGCCUGCACCGCGAAUGUCAUCUUUUCGGGUUGAACGGCAGCUACAGCGACUCGCUGGUCGCAGAUCUGGCAUUGCAGCUUGGCAGCAUCGUCACACCAGCUCGAGCUGUUUAUUAUGAGCCGGGAAUUUUACGUGCCCUGCCAGCCUUACGCAUAUGCGUGCGGUAGUGGAGCUUCAGAGGGCGUGGUGAGCGUGAACGGGGUCGUAGGUGGCAUGGAUUGCAUGCCCCUGCGUCCCGGACCGUUCCAAUACCUCAUCAGCGAGCAGGCCAAGUCACUGGUCGCUCUACAGGAGCUGCAGAAUGAGGUUGGUGCCCUACUUGAGUUCCGGGACCUCGUCAUUGAGACGUUCCCAAACCUCAGGCACAAGAUGGCUGUCACGGCAGCGACGUCUGCCACAGACGGUACUUCGGAGGCCAACGUCAACGGCACAGCGUCUGUCCUCAUCUCACCUGGCCAUCAGGGUUCGCACAUGCCCCUUUCCAGUCGUAGUCCAUCGUCGAGGCGAAUGGGCGAGUGGGAGCCUGGUAAGGUGAGACGGCGGGUGGCCCAGUCACGAGGAGAAAACGACUCUUCGUCACUGCCCAGAAGCCGUAGCAAUUCGCACAGCGGCGGCAACAAGCACAGCGCCACGGUCCAGGACUCAGGCUUCAGCACGGAGACCUCGUCCAAGGACAGCGCGUCAACAGCCAUACCCAGGCCGCAGAGUCCGAGUGGCAGGCCCCAGCAGCUCGACGAGGCCGAGGAUGAGCUCUGGAACCUGCUCGAUGUUAUACACAGAAAAGGAGUCCGGCUCAGAGAAGAGGUGGAGAGUUUGCAGGGUCGCCUUGAAAGUGUCGCCCCAGAAGAGCUCGACGUGCCGAGCGACAUCCUCAAUGCGGUUCGAAAAGUCACACAUCACGAACACGACAAUGAUGUCGACGUUGACGAUAACGACGACGACGACGACGAUCGCACGCAUCUUCACCACCGGAUCCAUCACCUCCAGCUCAUCGACGGUGAGCUGGAUUCCCGUGACGCGGAUGACCUGCUGCUGGACGACGAAGUGCCCGAAUCAUCGCAGCUGGUGCUGCUGCGUCGCGAGAAACUCCAACUGCUUGACAAGGUUGCCGAGCUCGAGGCCGAAACGAUAUCGAGUCGAGCGCGAACACAGGAGCUCCAGGCAGAGCUGGCAGCGCUUUCGGCGAUCAAGGCGGACUUGGAGGAAAAGCUGAAGGCAGGCCUCCAGGGCCAGAACACCAUAGCCACGACUAUCACGCAGAGAAUACAGCCGAUAGAGCCAACGGCUUCUACCGCGCCGCUGCAGUCACCCAGGAGCAGCGGGCCCCCGGUCAACAUUGGCAGCAAGGACUCAGCUUUUGUUAGCGUCAACGUUGGCGGUGUUAGUGACAAAGUACAGAAGAACCGGUUCAGAACAAGGACUAUCGAGAGGAACGUGCUUGCCAACGUAGCGGCAGCGGUCAGCCGCUCGACCGAGGAUGUCCACCUGGACGCGACCACCGACGCCGGCGCAGUAGCGGAAACAACAACAGUCGAGAGACAGGUGCACCUUGGAGCUCUGGACUCGGUACUCAUGUCCCCGUCUCAAGAGUGGCCACAGUUACCCAGGGCCGAGAUCGAUACUCGCAAAAUCGCUGCAAUCCUAAGAGAACAGUCACCGCUCGAGCUGCAGCGGCACCUUAUCACCACAACCGUCCAAAAUCAGGUCCUUCAAAAGCGAAUAGAUGAAGUAGAAAGGAGCACCGAAACGCUUUCAGAGCGACUAGGAAAGGCGCACGAAGAAAACGAGGACCUGCGUUUUCAGCUGGCCGAGCGAAACAUCGAGCUGGAGGGUACGCGGGCGCGGGUACGCGUGCUGGAGCGGAUGCAGCAGCGACCCUUGACGGAGAACGACGCGGAUGACGAGUCCGACCCUCCGCUCUUGACUAACCACAGCAGUCACCUUCCGUCCAAUGUCCUCGAAAUGAAUGGCACCGGCGGCAACAGUAGCACUAGUAGCAGCACUGAGUCGUCCCGCGAGCCGGCAGCCACAAGCAGCAGCACCGCCACCGAGCCGACGAGCGGCCAACUGAAGCCCUCGCCUCGCCGGCGACCUAGUCGAAUACCGCUGCUGGGCGCGACGAAGCCCAUCGCCCCAAAACCACCCGUUGUACCACCCACGGCUAGCCACCGGCGCAAUGACAGUAGGGACUCGCUCCGGUCGUUGGGCCAGAAGAGCUGCAACGGCAACAGUAGCGCUCUCUCGAUAUCCUCGUCCGGUCGGCAGCAGUCCGCGAUGAAGACAACCGGCCGCGACUCCAGCCGGGAGUCCCUGAACAAGAGCGCUGGCAGUCUGCCCAAGAGCCAUCAGGCCAAUGCUACGCGCCAAGAGCCGGGCAGUCGCUCGCUGCCACGUAACAACUCGGGCUCGCAAAGUUGUAGGGAUUCAUUGGGCAAGCAGCAGCAUAACUUGGGCCCGAGCAACUCGAUUUCACGGGCAACGGCCUCGAUCGAGUCGUCGGCUGGCAGUCAGAGCCCAAGCACGCCGCCAAGGAGACCACCGGCUCCGACCAGAAGGUCACAGAGUCAGACUGCCAGGCCCACGGCUGCGACAAGCGGCGCCGAAAGUACGGUCGACGGUAGCGGCAAGGUACGAACCGUAAAGAAUUUCUUUUGGACGACAUGGCUCAAGUGAACUCGAAGAUAAUGGGAAAAGUGAUAGACAGAGCUUUGCGUCUUGUCCUGGGAACGAAGCGCACGAGUUCGUUUCUCUCUCUCCUCGUUCAUAUUUUUGUCUGUUGCUUUGUUCGUAGGGAUCGAACAUAAAAUCUAUAUGUGAAAGAGAAACGAAUACGAAACUACUGUGUAGCUAAUUCUGAGACUACCACACAAUUAUUGUUACUAUUUAUUAUUAUUAUUUUUAUUAUUAUUUAAUUAUUUAGGUUUUUCACCAUUUCUUACUUCGUUAUUUUGUUCGAUAUGUAUUGUUUGUUUUAUACGCAAACACGGAGAUAUACGUAUAACACAUUAUGUAACAACAACACGUACGCGCGUGUCCACGUGUAUGGACGUUUUAUUGUUUUUUUUUCCAUGCACGAACGAACAUUCCUUGUAUUUUAUCAUUGAUUUUAUCAGAUUUAUGAUUAUUUUCGAAAUUUUUUUUUUAUAUACGCUCAUAUUACUAUAUUUUGCGAGACACAGUGAGAAGGCGCCAACCGUUUAAUUGUUUUACUAUUUUCUUUUUUCUUCAAUCGUUGAGUAAUUUUUUAUGAAAUUUAUAUUGUCAAUUUUUCUUAAUACUCUGCAGCUCCAUUAUACGUUCGAUGAUUCGUUGGCAAUAAAAUCUCUGUAAAUUACAAAUAGUUAAAAAAAAAAGUAAACAGACUUCUUUUAUACAGGACUCGACAUGAUCGCAAUAUUCAACGAAAAUAAAGCAUGUUGAGAUUACAUAUAGUUAAAAGUUUCAAAAAUUGACUAAAAAUUAAACAAGAAAAUUGAGUUUGCGUGCCUUUUAGAUGAAAAUUAUAAAAAAGUCUACGUCUUAAGACAAUCUAUUUCAAAGAUAUCUGCACGUGGACUGUACUGAAUUCCGAAACGGUCACAUCUCGAGACGACGAGACGAGGAUUAAACAAAAAUCUAUAAAACACCAAACUAACAAAUUAAACCAAAAAAGUCCAUGCGUUAAGUCAACCACCACCACCACCAUCACCACUACUACUAGUACUACUAUCACGGAGCUGACAUCUCCUUGACCUCCUGUCUGCGAAAGGCCGAAUUUAAGUAUCCGAGUGGGAGAACGAGGCAGGCGUCCUCCUCGUCUUUGCUGCCGUUGUCUUCUCUUCCUCCUUUGAUUCUCUGAUCAUCGACAUCUGAGAGCGCAAAGCUGCCCUUUUGCUCUUAUAGACAAGAGUGAAAUAGAAUAAAGCCAAAAGUAAAGCAAUUGUUAUCGUUUUCAUGGUCCUUCACUAUCGCACACGAAGCGUUGUCCCGCUCGUUCUUACGUUCUUCGUCUCUCGGGUGUCUCUCUGUGGAGAUGAUGAUGAAGUCGUGGCUGUUUUUUAUGCGGCACUACGCUUCCCUACAAGUGUUUGAAUCCUAUUGUAGUUCCAGUAUGUAGUUUUGCAUCCAGUUUUACACCUAAACUCCUUUGCACACUAGUAAUUUUUUUUUUUUUAGUUUGGUAGGGCAUCCAUAGAUCUAUGUCAUUUUUUGUUUAUACUUAUAUUUGAUAUGUAUUUUGCAUGGAACGUCAUGUAGCUAAUUCAGUUUUUCUGAAUUUUUGAUCUAUGGGUUUCAUUUUUUGGCAUGUGCACGU